AUACUCUGGAUUCUCUUCAGAUCGUAUAAAUCUUUCCCCUUUUACUAAAGAUUUCCGUGGAGAGGAACUAGUACGAGUCUUAAGAGAAUUUUUGUGGCUCCAUUACGGUGGAGC
ensembl:snRNA U5 U5 spliceosomal RNA